CGGGGUUUAAACUUGAGUUGAUCUUUCAAAGAUUCUCAAAAUUAGCUUCUUGUACGGUUGAAUUGAGCUAGAAUGAGCUAUUGCUACAAGUUAAGUUGUUUAUUUACAACCUUAGUUACCUUUGUUUAUGAGCAAUAAUUCAUAAUGGUUGCUUGGAAAUUCUGUUGUAUUAAUGUGCAUCUCAAGGCAAAAUGGUUAAACUAAACUCUUAAUGCCGCAGCUUCAAACUAAUUGUCCUCCU
rnacentral:lncRNA from 1 species